rnacentral:rRNA from 1 species
UAGUUGUUGCAGUUAAAAAGCUCGUAGUUGAAUUUCGGGGUCAGCAGGUUGGUCGUGCCACUGGUAUGCACUGGUCUCGCUGAUUCCUCCCUCUUGUAGAACCGUAAUGCCAUUAAGUUGGUGUUGCGGUGAAACAGGACUGUUACUUUGAAAAAAUUAGAGUGUUUAAAGCAAGCUAACGCUUGAAUACAUUAGCAUGGAAUAAUGAAAUAGGACGAUCGAUCCUAUUUUGUUGGUUUCUAGGGUUGACGUAAUGAUUAAUAGGG